GGAGCAAAACCUUCGUUAGUCUUAUGCUAACUCUCAAUAAUACCGCUUAUCGUAUGGCCUUGUGCCGACAAAGUUUCUUUCAAGUAUCUGCCCUAUCAACUGUCGUUGGUAGUGUAUUGGACUACCAUGGUGGUAACGGGUAACGGAGGAUCAGGGUCUGACUCCGGAGAGGGAGCCUUAAAAACGGCUACCAUGUCUAAGGAUAGCAGCAGGCGCGCAACUUACCCAAUGUCAAUCUGACGAGGUAGUGACGAGAAAUAACAAGACCGUUCUCUAUGAGGUCGGUCAUUGGAAUGGGUACAAUUUAGACAUUUUAACGAGUACCAACAGGAGGGCAAGUCUGGUGCCAGCAGCCGCGGUAAUUCCAGCUCCUGUAGUACAUAGAAUUAUUGUUGCGGUUAAAAAGUUCGUAGUUGGAUUUUCUACUGCGCCUGGUUGCAUCUAACGACGCGGACUGGGAGCAGUACUUGUGCCACGCUCGGGGCGACCCGGCGGGGCGCGGAUUACUUUGAACGGCUUAAGUGCUCAAGGCGAGUCUUAUGACUGAAUACCGGUGCAUGGAAUAAUGGAACAAGGUUGCGGCCGAGUUUUAUUGGUUUUGUCGGCUGAAACAAUGGUUAACAGGAACAGCCGGGGGCAUUCGUAUCGUUGUGCGAGAGGUGAAAUUCGUGGACCAUAGCGAGACGCACUAAAGCGAAGGCAUUUGCCAAGAGUGUUUUCAUUAAUCAAGAACGAAAGUCAGAGGUUCGAAUGGCGAUUAGAUACCGCCCUAGUUCUGACCGUAAAUGAUGCCAACUGACAAUUCGCUUGUGGAUUUAAUUCAUAAGCGAGCGGUCUACCGGAAACGAAAGUUUUUCGGUUCCGGGGGAAGUAUGGUUGCAAAGCUGAAACUUAAAGGAAUUGACGGAAGGGCACCACCAGGAGUGGAGCUUGCGGCUUAAUUUGACUCAACACGGGAAACCUCACCCGGCCAGUACAUCGUAAGGAUUGACAGAUCGAUAGCUCUUUCAUGAUUCGGUGAAUGGUGGUGCAUGGCCGUUCUUAGUUCGUGGAUCAUUUUGUCUGGUUUAUUCCGAUAACGAGCGAGACGCCAACUGUUAAAUAGUGCUCUUAUUACUUUUAUGUUGUAAUUGAUCACUUCUUAAAGGGAUUCGUGGUUUGAAACCGCAAGAAAUGGCGCAAUAACAGGUCUGUGAUGCCCUUAGAUGUUCGGGGCCGCACGCGUGCUACAAUGAUGGUAUCAGCAUGCUUGUCCUACCUCGAUAGAGGAUGGAAAACAUUUGAGAUAUAAUUAUGGCUGGAAUUGAGUGUUGAAAUUUUCACUCAUAAACAUGGAAUUCCAAGUAAAUGCAAGUCAUCAACUUGCAUUGAUUACGUCCCUGCCCUUUGUACACACCGCCCGUCGCUACCCGGGACUGAGUUGUUUCGAGAAAUCUACGAA
rnacentral:rRNA from 1 species